rnacentral:lncRNA from 1 species
UACAGUUGUGGCCGUAUGAUUUGGGCUCACAUAUCCAAACUUAGCUCUGUUUUGGAUUGGGGGAGGACCCCUUAGGCUUGCUGCUUGGGGUGCCUGUGAGAUCUCAAAGUGAAGUGCUUCCUGUCCUGAACUAAGGAGCAAAUAGUACUACAAUAAGCUGCAAGGUACAGAAGGAAAGGACAGAGAAAAAGAGUAAGGUUCAGCAGACAGCUAGUAGAGAGGUGAGAGAACACCAUGUCUGGAAUGCCCUCUUAUAUCUCAUGCUCCCAGAAGGGAAUGACCAGGUGUGGGUGUGGGAGGCCCCUUGGUCCCCAGCGUGGACAUGUCAAGAGAGCCUCCCAGAGGAGAGAGUAGUGUGCUUAUCAUUAAGAGGUCUUGGAGCUAUGAGAUGGGAACAGCUGUAGCUAAUGACAAUUAUGUGAGGGAUAUGAAUACUGUAUUCCAGAUGACAGGACCCAGCCAUGAAAUGAAAGGGAUAUAAAUACUAUAUUCCAGAUGACAGGACUCAGCCAUGAAAUGGAAACACAGAAAAAAAAUUUUAAAUACAAAUUUUUCCCUUUUCUCUGGCCUUUUAAGUUGUUGUGAAUUAAUGUUUAGGGUAACUUUAUAAGUUAUUAGCAUGAGCUUAUCACUCACCUUUAACUGUAUGCUGUCUGUUUAAGUAGUGAUUUGAUGCCUAAAUCCACAUGUGGAUGUACAGAGUUAAUAGUUUCUUGCUCUACACACAUGCCCAUCACUUCUCAGCAGAACAGCUGCAGCGCUAAAGGAGCUGCCUGCUUAGCUAUACUGCAAUUCCAGUAUUCUAUCUUUUACCAAGUCUUGCUCUGCACUGCCACAUAUGUUGAGUCUUGUGUGACACUGCUCCUGAGAACAUGUGAACCCCAGAAAGGAAACCAACGACAAAGUCACAGUACCAACUUGGUGAACAAUGAGUUUAUCGAACUUAUAGAAAAGAGGAUGGAUGACUCAAAGGCAUAUACAGCAUGAAGGUAGUUCAGUGAAUCACAGGUCUCAGCAAUCUUUAACAUUUAUAUAAUCUUUGUGGAAGGGGCCUUGGCAAGUGCUCAAUUUUAGGGACUUCCUGAGUCUUGAUUAGCCUCUCUCCGGGAUAGAAUUUCUACAUAGCACUGGGAUCAAUGGUGACCACCUUCUCCUAGGGAAAGGGCCCCAGCUACCCUGGCCACCUUCACCUUCUCAGUGGGAGUGUCUCACAGAAAUCACAAAUGGAGAUGGUGUUGGCAGGCUCCAUCAUCUUAUUAGAACUGAGAAGGAAAAGUGAAUGAAUACAAAGGACAAAAGAAACAGCUUGACACAGCAAAGGAAAAGGAUUUUCCAGAUCUGAAAGCUAAACUUGAGUCAUCUCAUCAAAGGCCCUCAAUAUGACAUAAGGAGAGUCAGUGUUCCACUUAGUAAGUGCUGUGGAUGACCUCGGGCUGAGAAUUUCAAGGUACUGAAAGGAAGACCACCUGCACCACACAGAUAGAUGUCUCAGAGGUUCAGCAGAAGCCAGAAGACUGGGCAUUAGGGUGGGGUUGGGGGGAUAGCCUAGAAUUCUGUGUGAAACAAAUGAGAAGCAUGUGUAAGAACAGAGGCUAAGUGCAAAAAUGAGUGGAUAAGGAGGUAAUGAAUUUGACAGAGUGGAGAGAGGUGUAAGGGGUUAUUUAGUGGGAGGAUGGGAAGGGAGAAAUGUUGUACUUCUCUAAUCUCAGAAAGAGAUAAAAGGAGAAAACUCUCAAAGCAUGAAGAAAUAGAACAAAAUGCAAAUAACACCUCUGCAUAAGUCUAGUUAGUUAGGGUCUUCAAUAUGGAACAUCAAAAUCCUAGUGUGGCUUGCAGUACUUGGUCUGCUCUGGCCUGUGACUUCAGCCCUAGGUUUCUCCAUCUUUCAAUGUCACAGGUUCUUCUGCAUCAACUCUCACCAUUCUUAACUUCCUUAGAAUACCAUGCCACCAUAUCUUUGUUGGUUCUUGUGUUUAGAAUUCACUUUCUUUGGCUUCAUCCUCUCCCUGAUCUCUUCUAAAAUUGACCUUUAAAUUUGUAGCAGUAUCCUUCAGUGUAUUACUUGUGUCAUCACCUCCUCAGGAUGAAAUCCUCUGAAAGUUUCAAAUGCCCAUAACAUCUACUGUUACUGCACAGUGUUCGUGUCUCACAAAUUGCAAUUGUAUAUUAUUGGUGAUCUGUGUAAUUUCCCAGAAGGAAAAGGCUGUAGAUUUCCUGAGCCAUGUAUCUUUUUUGUAUAAUAAACAAGCUCAAGAACUCACUCACACAGUGGAUUCUCAUAUAUCUUUAAACAUGUAUCUUUAAAUAAUUGUGUACUCAGCUAUAUCUAAGAUGAAAAUUGUGAAUGUUGUUUAUUUUGCAAACCAAUACUUUCAGAUAUACUAUGCAACUGUAUAAUUACUAAGCCAUACCCUGAGUUUUUCCUGGCUGUUUGAAAUAAAAAUAUGAAGAAAAAAAAAAGAGGCCAAGAGAGACAUGAGUUCAGGUGGACAAUGUUAUUGACUCUAAAGGUCUUCUUGAGAGGAGCACUGAAGCUUGUAUUCCCUAAAGAAAGAAAGUAGCCCAAAUGGGGAGUCUGCGGUGUAAGUGGUUAAGCAGGUGUGAGAAGGUUGUCUCAUAGGCAUUGAAUCUGCCAAAACAAGAAUAACGCUGUGCCCCUAACAAGUUAAGACAGAGAACUCUAGUGUUUGCAAACCUGGCCCAGAAGAGGCUAGUUGAGUGCAAGCAUGCAAAGAUCCUCAUGUUGGCUCAGAGGAUGGAGAUGCUGCCUGACUUUGGGCUGUGAUAACUUAAGCAUGCAUCUAUAGGGUGAGAGCUAAAAGAAUAGAAUUAAAUUGGGUAGGGUAGAAAGUAGGGGAUGGUAGUCAGGGAUGAUGGGAGGAGGAGGCAAUGAAUCACUUAUAAAUGGCACCCAUGCAGGACCUGAAGCCUAAAUUCGAGGAGGGUGAGUGAGUGCUGUGCUUUCAUGGGCCUCUUCUUUAUGAAGCAAAGUGUGUAAAGGACAAACAAGUGAAGUACUUUAUCCAUUACAAUGGUUGGAAUAAAAAUUGGGAUGAAUGGGUGCCAGAAAGCAGAGUACUCAAAUACAUGGAUGCCAAUUUGCAGAAACAUCAAGAACUGCAACAGAAAAAUGUUGAAGUGAAAACAAAAAAGAACAAGGAGAAAACACUUGGAAAUGGAGUUGGUGGCAGUGCCAGUGAGACACCUCAGCCUCCUAGGAAGGAGAGAGCCUGGGUAGAUCCUAUCAUUUCUAUGAAAAUGAAGAAACAUUCAUGAGCAGAGCUGAAGUUAAAGUGAAGAUUCCUGAAGAGCUGAAACCGUGGCCUGCGGAUGACUGGGGCUUGAUAACCAGACAAAAGCAGCAUUUUAUCUUCCUGCCAAGAAGAGUGUGGGUUCACAGAUGAUAAGGAGUAUGCUGUUCAUGAGGCUGUGGCAGGAAUGAAGGAGUACUUCAGUGUAGUGUUAGGCACUCAGCUACUCUACUAUUUUGAGAGCCCACAGUAUGCUGAAAUUCUCACCAAUCACCCAGAUGCACCCAUGUCCCAGGAGUAUGGAGCGCCACAUUUACUGAGAUUAUUUGUGUGAAUUGGAGUGAUGUUGGCCUAAACACCUGUAGAUGAGAAAAGCCUUGCUUUAUUACUGAACUAUCUACAUGAUUCCCUCAAGUACCUGGUGAAGAAUUCUGCAACUGUGUUCCGUGCCAGUGAUUAUGAAGUGGCUCCUCCUGAGUACCAUCAGAAAGCUGUGUGAGGGGUGUGCUCUCUCUCUUCUCUCUCUCUCUCCCCUCUCUCUCUCUCUCUCUCUCUCUCUCUCUCUCUCUCUCUCUCUCUCUCGUUUGGAUCUCUGUAAAGAGUCUGGUUCUUAGUCGUUCUCUUGUACAAAUGAUGGACUUUGAAGACCAUUGGUGUAUAAUAGAGUUAGUGUUUGUUUCCUGUUUGAUUUUAAAAAGAAAAUAAAAGGAGUAACCGCUUUUUUUUUUUCAUUUCAAAGUUUCUACCAGUGUAUCAGUGAUGGAUAACAGAGAGACAUGCUAUAGAGUGUUUGCCUAGUUGACAAAGCUACUUUUGAAUGCUGGUGGUUCUGUUCCUUUGGCACUAUGCACUUUUAUAAUUUGUGUUAAUGCUCUAUGACAAAUGUUCUGAUUCCUAGUGCCAAAGGUUCACUUCAGUGAAUAUAACUGAACACUCAUCCAUCUGUGCCCGCCCCCUUUUUAAACAGUGCUUGAGUAGCCCAUCCUUUGCAAGUCAUCCAUGUCCUUCCUUGGGCAUCCUAUUUUUGCAUGUUAUCUGGGCAUCUUAUCUUCGUUAAAGAAUAGUGGCUUAUUUUCCUGGGGUUUUGUAUUUGUGUCUAAUGCACGUUCUAACUUGAUAGAUGCAAUGCAUCGUAUAGCUACAGUUUUAUGGGAAAGUCAAUCUUGGAGGAGUUGUUUUUCAGAUCUUCAAUAAAUUUUUCUUUAAAUUUCAG